GCGUUGUUAGCUCAGCCGGACAGAGCAAUUGCCUUCUAAGCAAUCGGUCACUGUACAACGCGCCA
rnacentral:tRNA from 1 species